UGGGGAUGAGGAGGAGGGGAGGGCAGGAGGAAGGAAAGACAAAGGGCACAAGGAAACUUUUUUGGGGAGAUGGAUAUGUUCAUGAGCUUGACUGUGCUGAUGGUUUCACGGAUGUAUCCAUAUGUUAAAACUUAUCAAAUGGUACACAUUAAAUAUGUGGUUUAUUGUCAAUCAUACCUAAAAAGAAGGAGGAGGAGGAGGAGGAGGAGGAAGAUGUAAGACAUGGUCCCUGCCCUUGGGGAGCUUGCAGUAGAAAUUGUAUAAUCAAGAUUCACAGGCUUUCCCUGUAAACCAAUGAACGGACGGUGGCUCUAGAGUUUAUACAGCACGGGGGCUUAAGGACGACAUUAACGGAUGAAAAUUGUGCGAUGUUUCUAGUAACCUAUACUGAAGCAGAGUUUGUAUAGAAAGUGGCUGGGUUUUUGAUUGUUUAUUGGGGUGCUUUGUGGAUGCUUAUGGAGAUUAUGAGAGCAAGGCUGAGGUCCCUCGUGCCACCCCAUUAGGCUCUGCUGCUGCAGUUAACUCUCUGCUAAGCAUCCUAACAAGUAAACAAGACGGAUUCCCUUUAGCAUCUGGGCUCACAUGUCCCAACCCCAGGGCCCGCCCCCAGCAGCCUUCCCCCUCUCUCUAGCACCUUCUCCUACCCCAUCCUGUCUUCAUUCCCUUCCUGCUGCCUUGUCCAAGGGUCCGGUGAGGAGCUCUUGCUGAGGGAUUAGCGCCUGGAGGGUGCUUGUGUUAUUUCUCUCAAUAGGACCUACGCUUUCAUAGAUCUGCAGAAUAAAAGGAUUCAUCCUUAGAGGGGGUUUUUAGACUCUACCGAGGAUUGAGGGACCUUCCCGCCACAUUGGCCUACAGUCACCGAUCACCCUCUGCAGUGACACGUCAAGGGACCCUUCCGCCCCCGUUACUGGUCUGCUGGUAGAGGGAAGCAGAGCUCAUCUCCGACCCCCCUUCACAUCAAGCACUCAGGGAGGAGCAGGGGGUGGGGAAGCCCAGAGCCUUGCUGCCUGUUGGAAACCCCAUGGCUCUGGCUGCCCCUGCAGUUCCACCUGCGAUGGUGAACUCCAGGCUGAGACGUGGGGAACAAACCCCACGUCCUACGAAGGACACACCCUACUGAGACUCUGCCUGCCAAAGAGGGGCUUGGAAUCUCUCUGGAACGGAAUCCUUUUUCCCUCUAGGUAGCAAUGAUGGGGCCAGGGCAGCCCUAGAUGGAGCUAGAGGAUGAGCUGGGCCCUUGACUCAGAGCCCCUGCAUUUUGAGGUGGCACAGGCAAGCCCUGCAGGCCAGCCCCUCUGGAGGCUGACUCACCCAGGGCCGGCUGAGCCCAAGUCAGAAGCCAGUUUGAGACACAGAACAGCAAUGUGGUUUCUAGAGGUGUUUUAACUGUGCUUUAAUUCUUUAGAAAACUGAGCAUGGGAUCAGGAAAUCUCAGCCUGGAACAGUAGAAGUAGGCUAGCCCAGCCACCUCUCUGACUCAUUCAUCUCUGCUCCUCCAUCCCUGAGAGGUAGCCAUCUCGUCUUCACUGAACGCUUCCAGUGACAGGGUUUUAUUUUAAAACAAGCUCUAAUUGUUAGAAAGUUCUUCCUUAUAUGUGCAGCUGUGAAGAAGAAUGAGGAAGUUCUCUUUGUACCAGUGUGGAAAAAUCUCCAAGAUAUACUAUCAAGUCGAAAAACAAACAAACUGAACAAUGCUGCCCAGUGUACUAACGUUGAGAUUUUUAAAAAUGAGAAGAAUAAGAAUUGAUCUUCAUAUCUGCUUAUCUGUGCAUUAAGAAACUCUGAAAGAAUACACGAGAAACUUUAAAAAAUAAUAGUUACUUAUGGGGGAAAGGGAAAAACGAAGCAGAGAAUAACGACAGUAAUGAGAGCCGACACAGGUGUGAAAUUUACUGCGUCCCAGGAACUAUUCCAAGUCCUUCGCAUGUAUGAACUCAUUUAAUCCUCACAACAACCCUACAUCAGGAUCCCCCUUUUUCAGAUGAGGAAGCUGAGGCUCAGAGAGGUUAAGUAACUUGCCUACCAUCACACAGUAUGCAGCAGGGCCAAGAUACAAACCCAGGAGGCAUGGCUGCAGAGACUGCGCUCUUAAAGACGGUGACAAACUGUCCCAACCAGAGUCUAAGGAGGGGAGGUUGGUUCUCUGGGCAAUGAGGUCCUGCUACAUGGACUCCUUCCCAGGAACGGAGAAGAACAUUCUGGAUUCUUUCCGCUGAUCCCUAGAUGUCCUGGGCUUCCGUACCCUUCCCCAUGCUGGUUAGUCUUCCCCAAAUACAUGCCAUGAUAUCAUGGGCCUCUUAAGGGUGAGGCCCCAACAGAACUCGGUUCUCCAGCACUGGCCUAGCCAAUUGAUUAUCGCCUCCCUAGUUCUGAGAACUGUAUUUCGACUAAUACAGCCUACAUUUACAUAUGUUUUUUUGGAAUCCUCAUUUCUCUGUUGCAAUUAAUUAAAACAUCCAACAUUGAUUCCCAUGUGCUUCUGCUUAUUCAGCUCUUCCCUGUUCCUGACUGGUACAGUCGUUUUCUGAGCCCACGUCUGAGAUGUUAAAUCUCUAGCCAUUAAACUUUAUCUUGUUA